rnacentral:rRNA from 1 species
GAUGAACGCUGGCGGCGUGCUUAACACAUGCAAGUCGAACGAAGCACUUUAUUUGAUUUCCUUCGGGACUGAUUAUUUUGUGACUGAGUGGCGGACGGGUGAGUAACGCGUGGGUAACCUGCCUUGUACAGGGGGAUAACAGUUGGAAACGGCUGCUAAUACCGCAUAAGCGCACAGCAUCGCAUGAUGCAGUGUGAAAAACUCCGGUGGUAUAAGAUGGACCCGCGUUGGAUUAGCUAGUUGGUGAGGUAACGGCCCACCAAGGCGACGAUCCAUAGCCGACCUGAGAGGGUGACCGGCCACAUUGGGACUGAGACACGGCCCAAACUCCUACGGGAGGCAGCAGUGGGGAAUAUUGCACAAUGGGCGAAAGCCUGAUGCAGCGACGACGCGUGAGCGAAGAAGUAUUUCGGUAUGUAAAGCUCUAUCAGCAGGGAAGAUAAUGACGGUACCUGACUAAGAAGCACCGGCUAAAUACGUG